rnacentral:rRNA from 1 species
CAGCAGCCGCGGUAAUACGUAGGUGGCAAGCGUUGUCCGGAAUUAUUGGGCGUAAAGGGCUCGCAGGCGGUUUCUUAAGUCUGAUGUGAAAGCCCACGGCUCAACCGGGGAGGGUCAUUGGAAACUGGGAAACUUGAGUGCAGAAGAGGAGAGUGGAAUUCCACGUGUAGCGGUGAAAUGCGCAGAGAUGUGGAGGAACACCAGUGGCGAAGGCGACUCUCUGGUCUGUAACUGACGCUGAGGAGCGAAAGCGUGGGGAGCGAACGGGAUUAGAUACCCCUGUAGUCCCUGUCUCUUAUAA